rnacentral:rRNA from 1 species
GACGAACGCUGGCGGCGUGCUUAACACAUGCAAGUCGAACGGAAAGGCCCUGCUUUUGUGGGGUGCUCGAGUGGCGAACGGGUGAGUAACACGUGAGUAACCUGCCCUUGACUUUGGGAUAACUUCAGGAAACUGGGGCUAAUACCGGAUAGGAGCUCCUGCUGCAUGGUGGGGGGUGGAAAGUUUCGGCGGUUGGGGAUGGACUCGCGGCUUAUCAGCUUGUUGGUGGGGUAGUGGCUUACCAAGGCUUUGACGGGUAGCCGGCCUGAGAGGGUGACCGGCCACAUUGGGACUGAGAUACGGCCCAGACUCCUACGGGAGGCAGCAGUGGGGAAUAUUGCACAAUGGGCGGAGGCCUGAUGCAGCAACGCCGCGUGCGGGAUGACGGCCUUCGGGUUGUAAACCGCUUUCGCCUGUGACGAAGCGUGAGUGACGGUAAUGGGUAAAGAAGCACCGGCUAACUACGUG